rnacentral:rRNA from 1 species
UACGUAGGGUGCAAGCGUUGUCCGGAAUUAUUGGGCGUAAAGAGCUCGUAGGCGGUCUGUCGCGUCUGCUGUGAAAACCUAGGGCUUAACUCUGGGCGUGCAGUGGGUACGGGCAGGCUAGAGUGCGGUAGGGGGAGAUUGGAAUUCCUGGUGUAGCGGUGGAAUGCGCAGAUAUCAGGAGGAACACCGAUGGCGAAGGCAGAUCUCUGGGCCGUAACUGACGCUGAGGAGCGAAAGCAUGGGGAGCGAACAGG